GAUGAACGCUGGCGGCGUGCCUAAUACAUGCAAGUCGAGCGAACGGACGAGAAGCUUGCUUCUCUGAUGUUAGCGGCGGACGGGUGAGUAACACGUGGAUAACCUACCUAUAAGACUGGGAUAACUUCGGGAAACCGGAGCUAAUACCGGAUAAUAUUUUGAACCGCAUGGUUCAAAAGUAAAAGACGGUCUUGCUGUCACUUAUAGAUGGAUCCGCACUGCAUUAGCUAGUUGGUAAGGUAACGGCUUACCAAGGCAACGAUGCAUAGCCGACCUGAGAGGGUGAUCGGCCAAACUGGAACUGAGACACGGUCCAGACUCCUACGGGAGGCAGCAGUAGGGAAUCUUCCGCAAUGGGCGAAAGCCUGACGGAGCAACGCCGCGUGAGUGAUGAAGGUCUUCGGAUCGUAAAACUCUGUUAUUAGGGAAGAACAUAUGUGUAAGUAACUGUGCACAUCUUGACGGUACCUAAUCAGAAAGCCACGGCUAACUACGUG
rnacentral:rRNA from 1 species